rfam:Heterorhabditis bacteriophora unplaced genomic scaffold Scaffold1262, whole genome shotgun sequence.
GCUCCAUUGGCGCAGUUGGUUAGCACGUGGUACUUAUAUGUCGGAGAGAUGCCAAGGUCGGGGGUUCGAUCCUCCCAUGGAGCA